ACCUACGGUCAUACCAGUCUGAAAGUGUCUGAUCUCGUCACAUCUCAGAAGCCACCCAGACACAGGCCUGGUUUGGACUUGUAUGGGGGACCUACUAGGAACCUCAUGUGCCUUAAGCC